rnacentral:tRNA from 1 species
UGGGUCAGUAGCUCAGCGGAUAGAGCAACCGCCUUCUAAGCGGUUGGUCGCAGGUUCAAAUCCUGCCUGACCCGU